rnacentral:other from 1 species
UACGGUCUGCGGUGUUCGGAGCCCGAAAUAUCUUAAUCCACAUUUGAAAUUCGGGAGCGCUCUGCAAAUGGUCUGUACCGAUAGGCAAGGUCUGUUUAUGAACGGAAAGUCUGACGCGGUACGGCGGCGCACCCACCUGCGAGAAGCGGGUUAACACUUUUUCGUCCUGCGGCACACGCGGAUCUCUU